rnacentral:tRNA from 1 species
GGAGGGGUGUCCGAGCGGCUUAAGGAGUCAGUCUUGAAAACUGAUGUUUCCCCAGCGGAACCAAGGGUUCGAAUCCCUUCCCCUCCGCCA